rnacentral:rRNA from 1 species
UACGUAGGGUGCAAGCGUUAAUUGGAAUUACUGGGCGUAAAGCGUGCGCAGGCGGCUUUGCAAGACAGAUGUGAAAUCCCCGGGCUUAACCUGGGAACUGCAUUUGUGACUGCAUGGCUGGAGUGCGGCAGAGGGGGAUGGAAUUCCGCGUGUAGCAGUGAAAUGCGUAGAUAUGCGGAGGAACACCGAUGGCGAAGGCAAUCCCCUGGGCCUGCACUGACGCUCAUGCACGAAAGCGUGGGGAGCAAACAGG